rnacentral:snoRNA from 1 species
AAGUCUGAAGUGAUGAGUUGGAUUCAUGUCUCUUCUCUGAAGUUUACCCUGGAGAUAGAUCCUUACACUCUGAUCAGCAGGGAUCU